CAGCCCCUGAAAGAAGUGCCUCUUCUAAGUCAUGAACAGUCUGCGCCAACUUCUCAACUUCUGCAACCUUUUGACGGUGCAUUCUAUCGAGUAUCUUGUACUCUUCCUGCACGUUAUGGGAAUGAGAUCAGACAAAUCAAAGGGGGAGAAUCAGUAAUGCUAGGAUGAAAGGACUAACCUGGUUUAUUUCAUUCUGUUUCAUGAGCUCCUGGUUCUUGUUCUGAAGGUCAUCAACAAGAGCUGCCUUAACCUUCGCAAUCUGCACUUCUCUUUCUGCUUCUAACAAAGCUGCUUCCUUGGUUUUUGUUAAUCUCUCCAAGACUCUAUUAUCAUCUUGAAG